CGUCGUCUAUCAUCUCUCUACAGCCGUUUGAGGGAAGGAGGAGGAAAAUUACCCGGUAUCGAUAGAGCCACACCACAAUCCUAUUAAGCCAAUCUUGCCAUCAGGAACCCAACAUUCACCAUGAUGCUGAGCACAGAAGGCAGGGAGGGUUUCGUGGUGAAGGUCAGGGGCCUACCCUGGUCCUGCUCAGCUGAUGAAGUGAUGCACUUCUUCUCUGAUUGCAAAAUCCAAAAUGGCACAUCAGGUAUUCGUUUCAUCUACACCAGAGAAGGAAGACCAAGUGGUGAAGCAUUUGUUGAACUUGAAUCCGAAGAUGAAGUGAAAUUGGCUUUGAAGAAGGACAGAGAAACCAUGGGACACAGAUAUGUUGAAGUAUUCAAGUCCAACAGUGUUGAAAUGGAUUGGGUGUUGAAGCAUACAUGUCCAAAUAGUCCUGAUACUGCCAAUGAUGGCUUCGUCUGGCUUAGAGGACUCCCAUUUGGCUGUAGCAAGGAAGAGAUUGUUCAGUUCUUUUCAGGGUUGGAAAUUGUGCCAAAUGGGAUGACACUGCCAGUGGACUUUCAGGGGCGAAGCACAGGGGAGGCUUUUGUGCAAUUUGCUUCGCAGGAGAUAGCUGAGAAGGCCUUAAAGAAACACAAGGAAAGAAUAGGGCACAGGUACAUUGAAAUCUUUAAGAGUAGCCGAGCUGAAGUUCGAACCCCCUAUGAUCCCCCUCGAAAGCUCAUGGCUAUGCAGCGGCCAGGUCCCUAUGAUAGGCCAGGGGCUGGCAGAGGGUAUAAUAGCAAUGGUAGAGGAGCUGGGUUUGAAAGGAUGAGGCGGGGUGCCUAUGGUGGAGGGUAUGGAGGCUACGAUGACUAUGGUGGUUAUAAUGAUGGAUAUGGCUUUGGGUCUGAUAGAGACCUCAAUUGGAAGAGACCUCAAUUACUGUUUUUCAGGAAUGUCUGAUCAUAGAUACGGAGAUGGUGGGUCCAGUUUCCAAAGCACCACAGGGCACUGUGUACACAUGAGGGGGUUACCUUACCGAGCCACUAAGAAUGAUAUUUAUAAUUUCUUCUCACCUCUUAACCCCAUGAGAGUACACAUUGAAAUUGGACCUGAUGGCAGGGCAGAUGAGGCAGAUGUUGAAUUUGCUACUCAUGAAGAUGCCGUGGCAGCUAUGGCAAAAGACAAAGCUAAUAUGCAACACAGCUAUGUAGAACUCUUUUUGAAUUCUACAGCAGGGGCAAGUGGUGGUGCUUAUGGUAGUCAAAUGAUGGGAGGGAUGGGCUUAUCCAACCAGUCUAGUUAUGGGGGUCCUGCCAGCCAGCAGCUGAGUGGUGGUUAUGGUGGUCAGAGCAGUAUGAGUGGGUAUGACCAAGUUCUGCAGGAAAACUCCAGUGACUAUCAGUCAAAUCUUGCUUAGGUUGAUAAGGAGCACUAAACAGCUACUACAGAAAUAAAAGCUGUGCAUUUAUGGGAGUUGAAUA